rnacentral:tRNA from 1 species
UUGUAGCUGUGUGACACAGUUUUUAUGCUUGGCAAGCAUUGCAAGUUAUUGAUUAAUAGAUACCUAUAAUCCAAGGUCACGUUUCGUAAUCAGUAGGUCGGAGGUUCGACUCCUCUCAACAGCACCA